rnacentral:rRNA from 1 species
UACGGAGGGUGCAAGCGUUAUCCGGAUUUAUUGGGUUUAAAGGGUCCGUAGGCGGAUCUGUAAGUCAGUAGUGAAAUCUCACAGCUUAACUGUGAAACUGCCAUUGAUACUGCAGGUCUUGAGUAAAGUAGAAGUGGCUGGAAUAAGUAGUGUAGCGGUGAAAUGCAUAGAUAUUACUUAGAACACCAAUUGCGAAGGCAGGUCACUAUGUUUUAACUGACGCUGAUGGACGAAAGCGUGGGGAGCGAACAGG